rnacentral:rRNA from 1 species
GCUCAGGACGAACGCUGGCGGCGUGCCUAAUACAUGCAAGUCGAACGCUUCUUUUUCCACCGGAGCUUGCUCCACCGGAAAAAGAGGAGUGGCGAACGGGUGAGUAACACGUGGGUAACCUGCCCAUCAGAAGGGGAUAACACUUGGAAACAGGUGCUAAUACCGUAUAACAAUCGAAACCGCAUGGUUUUGAUUUGAAAGGCGCUUUCGGGUGUCGCUGAUGGAUGGACCCGCGGUGCAUUAGCUAGUUGGUGAGGUAACGGCUCACCAAGGCCACGAUGCAUAGCCGACCUGAGAGGGUGAUCGGCCACAUUGGGACUGAGACACGGCCCAAACUCCUACGGGAGGCAGCAGUAGGGAAUCUUCGGCAAUGGACGAAAGUCUGACCGAGCAACGCCGCGUGAGUGAAGAAGGUUUUCGGAUCGUAAAACUCUGUUGUUAGAGAAGAACAAGGAUGAGAGUAACUGUUCAUCCCUUGACGGUAUCUAACCAGAAAGCCACGGCUAACUCGGG